UUUAAUUAUUAUAUAUAAAAGUGAAAUAUACAAUAUAAAUUAAUUUUAGUUGGGGCAACUGGGAGGGAUAAAAAUCUUUUAUUAAAUCAUUUAUAAUAAUAUUUAUAUUUAUGAUCCAAAUUAGUUAAUUUUGAACUUAGAAU
rnacentral:rRNA from 1 species